rnacentral:lncRNA from 10 species
AGGAGACUUACAAGCUGAAUUAGCUUAUGAAAUUAUGGAGGCUGAUGAGCCCCACAACUGGCCGUCUGUGAGCUGGAGAACCAGGGAAGCCAGUUGCAUGGCUCAGUCCAAGUACAAAGGCCAGAGACCCAGGGAUGCCAAUAGGGUAACUCUCAGUCCAGGGCCAAAGUGCUGAGAACCCAGGGGCCACUGGUAGAAGUCCCCAAAUCCAAAGGCCAGAGAAUCUGGAAGUGGGAUGUUCAAGGGCAGGCAAAGAAAGGUGUCCCAUCUCCAGACGAGAGAGAGAGUAAAUUCUCAUGUCCUCUGCCUUUUUGUUCCAUCUCAGCCCUCAGCUGAUUGGAUGGUGUUUGUCUAUAUUGGGUGAGGGUGAAUCUUCCUUACUUGGGCCACUGAUUCAAAUGCCAGUCUCUUCCAAAAACACCCUCAUAGACAUACCCAGAAAUAAGGUCUUGCCAGCUAUCUGGCUGUCCCUUAAUCCAGGCAAGUUGAUACCUAAAAUGAACCAUCACACAGCCCAAAGAGCAGACCAUGAAGAGGUGAGAGCCCCACCCUCACUCUGAGCUUCACCAGCAUGGCAUACACACUGCAUCCCAAGGGUCAUGAGACAUUCUGCUGGACACAGACCCAUAGGAGACUUGUGGAGUUUGGGGAUGAGAGUUGUUCCAGGGCCCUCCUUCAGCCUCAUCCCGACCCAAAAGUGGCCAUUCAACACUCCCCGAGGGACUUCUGUGUGGGCCAGGAGCAUUUUGCCACCUUCAGAAGCAUGAAUCAAGCCUUGCAGGCAAAACACUCGUGGAGACAGGAGGUCCAGGGCUUUUUGACAGCCCCACGAUGUGGUUAGCGCCUCAGGCUCCUUCUGCCUUUCUGUUCUACCAUUCUUAGUGCAUGUGUCUGUCCUCAAGGGAAACUCAGGGCUGCAAGAUGGCUGCUGCCGCUACAGUCAUCAUGCCCACCUUCCUGUCUUGAAGAAGAAAAGAAAGGAAGAGCUUGCCAGAGGAGUCAGACCCUUUUAAAAAGAUUUCCUGAAGCCCCCCCAACAAUAACUUCCUCUUACAUCUCAGGAGCUGCCGCAACUGCAAAGAAGGCUAGGAAAUGAACCGGGAGUAUCGCCAUCCUCAACAACAUAGGGAUUUUGUUGGCAAAGAAUUAUCUCAUGGCACCUAAGCCUUACUGAGCACUUAGCUGACGUUGGAUACUCUAAGCACCCCAUAUGCGUGACCUCAUGGAACCCUCACAACAAUGCCAUGAUGUGGG